rnacentral:rRNA from 1 species
UUUAAAUGUGAAUAUUUAUAGACCAGGGUAGUAAUUGUUAAGUGCUUCAAACCCAAAGAAUUUGGCGGUGUUUUAGUCCUUUCAGAGGAAUCUGUCCCGUGAUCGACGUUCCACGAUAUGAUGUACUUAUUUUUGUUUUCAGUUUGUAUACCUCCGUCGUAAGAGAAUCUUUUUAGAGUUUAAUUUUCUUGAUAUAUUAAAUAUAUUAUGUCAGGUCAAGGUGCAAUUUAUGAAUAAGUGGAGAUGGAUUACAAUAAAAUUAUUUAAACGGAAUAAAUUAUUUAAUUUUUUAUAAAGGUGGAUUUGAUUGUAAUUUUAAUAGUUUAUUAUUAUGAUUAUUGGCUCUAAAACAUGC